CUCGGGGGGAUUAGAAUACGGCCACGGUAUCCCCUGCCUGUCGUAAGAGGCGACUAAAAGGGGACACACACAGGCUCAAGAAAAAAAUUGUAAAAGUAUGGCAAAUGUAUGAAACAAUGUAAAAUGCAAAAGGGGACAGUAAAAUUCCUGAAAGUACGCCGCCCGGAGGAAACGGGAUGUAAAAAUUCAUUCUUUUCUUUCCGAACCAGGGAAAAUUAAAGUAAAGUAAUCCAUGCAAAUCUGUGCCGAGGUUUCAAAGUGUUUCUGUCAAAAGCAUACGGCGAUAAGUCUGUGAAAAUCACGGCAGUACGAGGAUAUACCGAGCCAUUCGUCUUUCACUCACGAACGGCCACGGUUCCCCGUGGUCAUUGUGUGCAAAUAACGACAAACCAUUUGUUUCUUUGGAUCGUGCCGCGGCUAUUUUAUCGUUUCUCGCGGGCAAUCGUGAUUCUCGUUAACAGUUCCUUCCGAUUUCACGAUUCCGCUAAUAGAAUCUGUACAGGGAGACGCGUUGACUCCUCGACCACCCCCGUUUUCUUCAAUUUAUUCACCCCUGAUGUUUGGCACCUUUCGAGCUGUCUCUUGAGUUGCAAAUCGACGCUUUCGGAAGAUAUUGAUAUUUAUGAGAUUCUUUUAGCCAUUAAAUAGAACAUCGUACAGGCUAUAGGUUGAUUACUUCAAAAUAAGUGUAGUUAUCUUAAACCUCAACUACAAGUAGAACGGUGGAAUUGAACGAGGCAUUAUGUUCAAAACGGUUUAUAUCUCGACCCAUAUCCUCCGGAGCAAUUUACUACCUAAAAACAAUAAUUGCAGCAUCAUUAUCCAGACCCUGGGAAAGAUCACAGAAAAUGUGCUUAGCAACUAACGCCAUCAACGCAUUGCCGACUGAUGCAUCACCGAUACCGUGUAAUUUUAAACAUCGUACCUCCUACAUUCUUUCUCGAAUACAAACCUCGAUGCCUUCUGUCGUCAUCUAAUCUAAAAUAAAUUAUCAAAAGUGCAGUCACCUGGUAUUUUAUUCAUUCAGUUAACAAGAAACAAAGAUAGAGAAGGAGAAGAAAGGCGACACGACGAAAAGCCCGAAGAACCGUGGAAACCUUGUUGCUAGAAUACAGUUAGCCUAUUGUUCACGGCGUGAACUUGCAUGUUAACGUGUCGAACAGCAAAUACUCGUUUAACCACGCGUCGACGGAGUCUCGUAGCCUAUACUAAUGUCACGUUCACGCGAUUAGAAACCGCUAAUAAUUAGCCGACCGGAAGAAGACCUGGCACGCUCGCCAAUUCGACGCAGUAUUCCACCUUCCUUUAACGCGUUAUGUACUUUAUUGUUUUCUUCUCUCGUCCGUUAAUUCGUGGUUCCAGGAGCUAUUGUAAAAAAGGAAUCGGGUUAUUAUUUAAUUUACUGAACUCCCUUGUACAGCUAUUUAUUUAAUUUAACAAAUUUCCGCAACGUCACGACUGCUGUUGACAGUUUCACCUAGAGCCAGGUGAGACAUCCACAGUCUUAUAGCGACCGCCGAGGAGUACGGAUGUAUCUGUUAAACAUGUAAAUACCUUUAUUUUAUUUUCUGCGUUUAUUUAAUUUGCUGUAUUCAUCUUCUUCACUUAUUGAAUAAAAAAAAUUAAGGAG